rnacentral:rRNA from 1 species
CCGUCAGUGGCGGACGGGUGAGUAACGCGUAGGAAUCUAUCCUUGGAAUGGGGGACAACCGUGGGAACCUAACGGCUAUACCGCAUGAUGCCUGAGGGCCAAAGACGAAAGUCGUUUGAGGAGGAGUCCUGCGUCUGAAUUAGGUAGUUGGUGGGGUAAAGGCCUACCAAGCCUACGAUCAGUAGGCUGGUCUGAGAGGGAUGAUCAGCCACAUUGGGACUGAGACACGGCCCAAACUCCUACGGGAGGCAGCAGUGGGGAAUAUUGGACAAUGGGCGCAAGCCUGAUCCAGCAAUGCCGCGUGGGUGAAGAAGGUCUUCGGAUUGUAAAGCCCUUUUGGCGGGGACGAUGAUGACGGUACCCGCAGAAUAAGCUCCGGCUAACUUCGUG